AUCCUUUUCUGGUUCAGAAGCGUGAUUUGUUCUUCUGUGCUUGUGUGACAUGUGCGUCCUCCUAAAUCUUGCUAUCAUGUGGGCACAUUACCUGGCUGUUA